rnacentral:rRNA from 1 species
CCGCCAGACUCCUACGGGAGGCAGCAGUCGGGAAUAUUGCGCAAUGGAGGAAACUCUGACGCAGUGACGCCGCGUAUAGGAAGAAGGUUUUCGGAUUGUAAACUAUUGUCGUUAGGGAAGAUAAAAGACUGUACCUAAGGAGGAAGCCCCGGCUAACUACGUGCCAGCAGCCGCGGUAAUACGUAGGGGGCAAGCGUUAUCCGGAUUUACUGGGUGUAAAGGGAGCGUAGGUGGCAGGGCAAGUCAGAUGUGAAAACCCGGGGCUCAACUCCGGGAGUGCAUUUGAAACUGUCCAGCUAGAGUGCAGGAGAGGUAAGCGGAAUUCCUAGUGUAGCGGUGAAAUGCAUAGAUAUUAGGAGGAACACCAGUGGCGAAGGCGGCUUACUGGACUGUAACUGACACUGAGGCUCGAAAGCAUGGGGAGCAAACAGGAUUAGAUACCCCCGUA